rnacentral:sRNA from 1 species
CAUCAUCAGCUGUGCCUCAAACCGAGAACUAUAAAAGGUGGCUUCGUGUCUCCAUAUACGUAAUCUUUGUCCUCUUUUGCCAGCCACUAGCUACAAUUCUGGGUAGAUUGUACUAUGAAAAUGGAGGAAAUAGCACAUAUGUGGUAACACUUCUUCAACUCAUUGGCUUCCCUGUACUGGUUCUGUUCCGCUUCUUUUCUCGAAUCAGGCAACCCAAAUCAACAGAUACAAAUUUCAGU